GACGAACGCUGGCGGCGUGCCUAAUACAUGCAAGUCGAACGAGAGCGACCGGUGCUUGCACUGGUCAAUCUAGUGGCGAACGGGUGAGUAACACGUGGGUAACCUGCCCAUCAGAGGGGGAUAACAUCCGGAAACGGAUGCUAAAACCGCAUAGGUCUUCGAACCGCAUGGUUUGAAGAGGAAAAGAGGCGCAAGCUUCUGCUGAUGGAUGGACCCGCGGUGCAUUAGCUAGUUGGUGAGGUAACGGCUCACCAAGGCCGUGAUGCAUAGCCGACCUGAGAGGGUGAUCGGCCACAUUGGGACUGAGACACAGCCCAAACUCCUACGGGAGGCAGCAGUAGGGAAUCUUCCGCAAUGGACGCAAGUCUGACGGAGCAACGCCGCGUGAGUGAAGAAGGUGUUCGGAUCGUAAAACUCUGUUGUUAGAGAAGAACAAGUGCUAGAGUAACUGUUAGCGCCUUGACGGUAUCUAACCAGAAAGCCACGGCUAACUACGUG
rnacentral:rRNA from 1 species